rnacentral:rRNA from 1 species
AACGUAGGACGCAAGCGUUAUCCGGAAUUACUGGGCGUAAAGCGCGCGCAGGCGGGUUACCAAGUCUUUCGUGAAAGCUCCCGGCUAAACUGGGAGAGGUCGGAAGAUACUGGUAGCCUAGAGUAUGGCAGAGGUGUGUGGAAUUCCGCGUGUAGUGGUGAAAUGCGUAGAGAUGCGGAGGAACACCAGUGGCGAAGGCGGCACACUGGGCCAUAACUGACGCUGAGGCGCGAAAGCAUGGGUAGCGAAC